rnacentral:rRNA from 1 species
UACGUAGGGUCCGAGCGUUUGUCCGGAAUUAUUGGGCGUAAAGAGCUCGUAGGCGGCUUGUCACGUCGAUUGUGAAAGCCCGAGGCUUAACCUCGGGUCUGCAGUCGAUACGGGCUAGCUAGAGUGUGGUAGGGGAGAUCGGAAUUCCUGGUGUAGCGGUGAAAUGCGCAGAUAUCAGGAGGAACACCGGUGGCGAAGGCGGAUCUCUGGGCCAUUACUGACGCUGAGGCGCGAAAGCGUGGGGAGCAAACAGG